CGGUAACACGUAUGUAACCUACCUUCGUCAGGGGGUAGCCUCUCGGAAAGAGAGAUUAAGCCCGCAUAAAAUCACAUUGCAGCAUUGCAAAAUGAUCAAAUAUUUAUAGGACGAAGAUGGGCAUGCGGAACAUUAGCUAGUUGGUAAGGUAACGGCUUACCAAGGCUACGAUGUUUAGGGGAUCUGAGAGGAUGACCCCCCACACUGGUACUGAGACACGGACCAG
rnacentral:rRNA from 1 species